rnacentral:rRNA from 1 species
AGGUAAGCUACUAAGAGCGAAUGGUGGAUGCCUUGACUGGUAAAGGCGAUGAAGGACGUACUAGACUGCGAUAAGCUACGGGGAGCUGUCAAGAAGCUUUGAUCCGUAGAUUUCCGAAUGGGGCAACCCAAUGUAUAGAGAUAUACAUUACCUAUAUAGGAGCGAACGAGGGGAAUUGAAACAUCUUAGUACCCUCAGGAAAAGAAAUCAAUAGAGAUUGCGUCAGUAGCGGCGAGCGAAAGCGCAAGAGGGCAAACCCAGUGCUUGCACUGGGGGUUGUAGGACUGCAAUGUGCAAGAGGUGAGUUUAGCAGAACAUUCUGGAAAGUAUAGCCAUAGAGGGUGAUAGUCCCGUAUGCGAAAAACAAACUUUAGCUAGCAGUAUCCUGAGUAGGGCGGGACACGAGGAAUCCUGUCUGAAUCCGGGUCGACCACGAUCCAACCCUAAAUACUAAUACCAGAUCGAUAGUGCACAAGUACCGUGAGGGAAAGGUGAAAAGAACUGAGGUGAUCAGAGUGAAAUAGAACCUGAAACCAUUUGCUUACAAUCAUUCAGAGCACUAUGUAGCAAUACAGUGUGAUGGACUGCCUUUUGCAUAAUGAGCCUGCGAGUUGUGGUGUCUGGCAAGGUUAAGCAAACGCGAAGCCGUAGCGAAAGCGAGUCUGAAUAGGGCGCUUAGUCAGAUGCUGCAGACCCGAAACGAAGUGAUCUAUCCAUGAGCAAGUUGAAGCUAGUGUAAGAACUAGUGGAGGACUGAACCCAUAGGCGUUGAAAAGCCCCGGGAUGACUUGUGGAUAGGGGUGAAAGGCCAAUCAAACUUCGUGAUAGCUGGUUCUCUCCGAAAUAUAUUUAGGUAUAGCGUUGUGUCGUAAUAUAAGGGGGUAGAGCACUGAAUGGGCUAGGGCAUACACCAAUGUACCAAACCCUAUCAAACUCCGAAUACCUUAUAUGUAAUCACAGCAGUCAGGCGGCGAGUGAUAAAAUCCGUCGUCAAGAGGGAAACAACCCAGACUACCAGCUAAGGUCCCUAAAUCUUACUUAAGUGGAAAACGAUGUGAAGUUACUUAAACAACCAGGAGGUUGGCUUAGAAGCAGCCAUCCUUUAAAGAAAGCGUAAUAGCUCACUGGUCUAGUGAUUUUGCGCGGAAAAUAUAACGGGGCUAAAGUAAGUACCGAAGCUGUAGACUUGACUUUGUCAAGUGGUAGGAGAGCGUUCUAUUUGCGUC